CUCUGCGAGGAGGAAUCUGAAGGAAGUCCGUGGGCAAACUUCUGGUCUGACGAACAGGAAUCACAUCAGGCAGGAUACAAGGAUAAGACUGCAUAACAAGUUAAAGUCCAAUAGCUACACAGAAAAAAAAUGUAUGUUGUAAAUGUGGCAGAUAGAUGGAAGGGAAGAUA
rnacentral:ncRNA from 1 species